rnacentral:rRNA from 1 species
CUACGGGCGGCUGCAGUGGGGAAUAUUGGACAAUGGACCAAAAGUCUGAUCCAGCAAUUCUGUGUGCACGAUGACGGUUUUCGGAUUGUAAAGUGCUUUCAACAGGGAAGAAGUUCUGACGGUACCUGUAGAAGAAGCGACGGCUAAAUACGUGCCAGCAGCCGCGGUAAUACGUAUGUCGCAAGCGUUAUCCGGAUUUAUUGGGCAUAAAGGGCAUCUAGGUGGCUUAGUAAGUCUGAUGUGAAAAUGCGGGGCUCAACUCCGUAUUGCGUUGGAAACUACUAAGCUAGAGUAUUGGAGAGGUAGGCGGAACUACAUGUGUAGAGGUGAAAUUCGUAGAUAUAUGUAGGAAUGCCGAUGACGAAGGUAGCUUACUGGACAAUUACUGACGCUGAAGUGCGAAAGCUAGGGGAGCAAACAGGAUUAGAUACCCCGGUAGUC